UACGGAGGGUGCAAGCGUUAUCCGGAUUCACUGGGUUUAAAGGGUGCGUAGGCGGGCAGGUAAGUCCGUGGUGAAAUCUCUGAGCUUAACUCAGAAACUGCCAUGGAUACUAUCUGUCUUGAAUAUUGUGGAGGUAAGCGGAAUAUGUCAUGUAGCGGUGAAAUGCUUAGAUAUGACAUAGAACACCCAUUGCGAAGGCAGCUUACUACACAAUCAUUGACGCUGAGGCACGAAAGCGUGGGGAUCAAACAGG
rnacentral:rRNA from 1 species